AGCAUCUUUUCCCUCCAACAUUGGCCUGAGAAAGAAUCUUCGUUGCACCGUAAAUCGCCUUCGGCAGCGGCGGGGGACCAAACACUUUGAAACUUACAUCACUGAACUCACUUCACUCUCCUCUAAAUGAAUCCCUAAUCAAUUUCAUCUGAUUUCUAACCAAAAAAUCAAAUCAUCAUGAAACACUCAAGAAACCUAAAUGAAAAAUCAUAAAUUAAAACUCAACCAAGCCUAAUUCCAGUCCAUCACCAUAGGGAGCCUACCAUACUCUACCGCACUCAUACACUCAAUUGGUAACAAGAAUCAGAGAGAACAAGAUGGAUUUGAAGAGAGCCUACCAUAGAAGAUCAGAGGUUGAAGUGCAGAGACAAUGGUGUGCUUCGAACAAGGGAUGACUUUAUGCUUUCGAGUUUGGUUAUGACUCAAUAAUGCUUGGCAUGAGGGUAUCAUAAAUGCCCACGGGUAAUGGCUUGAAGAAUCAUGACUUACUUGUGCAUGAAGAAAUCUUGGGAUUGAAUCCACAUGAAAAGAUGGAAAAGUGAAGACACAUAGUGAAAUUGGUAUUAGGUUUAGGGUUUAGGUUAGUUGACUUUGGUCAAAUGGUUGACCAAAGUCAAAUGUAGGUCAAAGUUGCUUAUUUUUGGUAAUUUGGUGUAGAUAUUGUAAUAUGGUAUUGUAUGAAUGAAAUGAACAUUUUUGGAUGAAAA